GGGCCGGUUUUCGGGAUUCCUGGGCGUAAGGGUGCGUAGGUGGUGAGGUAAGUCGGAUGUGAAAUCUCGGAGCUCAACUCCGAAACGGCAUUGGAAACUACCUCGCUCGAGGAUUGGAGGGGGGACUGGAAUUCUCGGUGUAGCAGUGAAAUGCGUAGAUAUCGAGAGGAACACCAGUGGCGAAGGCGAGUCCCUGGACAAUCCCUGACACUGAGGCACGAAAGCUAGGGGAGCAAACAGGAUUAGAUACCCUGGUAGUCCUAGCCGUAAACGGUGCAUGCUUGCUGUAAAAGGAAUCGACCCCUUUUGUGGCGGAGCCAACGCGUUAAGCAUGCCGCCUGGGAAGUACGGUCGCAAGAUUAAAACUCAAAGAAAUUGACGGGGGCCUGCACAAGCGGUGGAGUAUGUGGCUCAAUUCGAUGCAACGCGAAGAACCUUACCUGGCCUUGACAUGCACGUAGUAGAAGGAUGAAAGUCUGACGAGAUAGCAAUAUCAGCGUGCACAGGUGCUGCAUGGCUGUCGUCAGCUCGUGUCGUGAGAUGUUGGGUUAAGUCCCGCAACGAGCGCAACCCUUGUGUCCUGUUGCCACCCCCACGCGAGUGGGGAGCACUCUGGACAGACUGCCUCGCUUAAACGAGGAGGAAGGUGGGGAUGACGUCAAGUCAGUAUGGCCCUUACGGCCAGGGCUGCACACGUACUACAAUGCCCGGCACAAAGGGAAGCGAGACCGUCAGGUGGAGCAAAUCCCCUAAAACCGGGCCCAGUUCAGAUUGUCGUCUGCAACUCGACGGCAUGAAGCUGGAAUCGCUAGUAAUGGCGCAUCAGCUACGGCGCCGUGAAUACGUUCCCAGGCCUUGUACACACCGCCCGUCACAUCAUGAAAGCCGUUUGUACCCGAAGUCACCCCUUAAAAGGCGCCGAAGGUAUGGAUGGUGAUUGGGAUGAAGUCGUAACAAGGUAAC
rnacentral:rRNA from 1 species